ensembl:lncRNA
GAUCUGCAUGCCGGGGACUUAACACUUCAUGAACUGACGUGUGGAUAACUAGGUUCAAUCUCCUCACUCACGAAAAGCUGAUUUAGUUCUCUAAACUCACAAGAGGCAGAGGACAAGGAAGGUCAAGAUGAACGCUGAUGACGUAACAAGGACUGAAGCUGAAGCUCCAAUACUUUGGCCACCUGCUGUGAAGAGCCAACUCAUUGGAAAAGACCCUGAUGCUGGGAAGGAUUGAGGGCAGGAGGAGAAGGGGGUGACAGAGGAUGACAUGGUUGGAUGGCAUCAGCGAUUCGAUGGACAUGAGUUUGAGCAAGCUCCAGGAGGCAGUGAAGGACAGGGAAGCCUAGUGUGGUGCAGUUCAUGGGGUUGCAAAGAGCCAGACAUCACUUACAGACUGAACAACAACAACAACACAUACUGUAUAAUGAUGAUUUGAAAAAUAAAAUUAUUAAGGACAGCAUUAAAUGUUGAGCUGAUAUAAAGUUUCCAAAUAAAAUACAUUCC